GACGAACGCUGGCGGCGUGCCUAAUACAUGCAAGUCGAACGCAGUGGGGACGGGUGAUUAACACGUGGGUAACCUCCCAUCACAGGGGAUAACACUUGGAAACAGGUGCUAAACGGAUACUGCUGGAUGGAGCGGGGGGGCAGUAGCUAGUUGGUGAGGUAAAGGCUCACCAAGGCCACGAUGCAUAGCCGACCUGAGAGGAUGAUCGGCCACACUGGGACUGAGACACGGCCCAGACUCCUACGGGAGGCAGCAGUAGGGAAGCUUCGGCAAUGGACGAAAGUCUGACCGAGCAACGCCGCGUGAGUGAAGAAGGUUUUCGGAUCGUAAAGCUCUGUUGUUAGAGAAGCGGUAUCUAACCAGAAAGCCACGGCUAACUACGUGCCAGCAGCCGCGGUAAUUC
rnacentral:rRNA from 1 species